AUGUUUGUGACUUUGGGGUGCAGGAGUGCUGGAGUGAGGGCUGUGCUCUGCAGGAUCGCGUGUGCAAGGCACCAAGAGGCUCUUGAAGUAUCACCGGCCCAGUCUCCUCUCCAUGUGUGCUCUCAAACAGAGCAGAGCACCAUCUCUUAUACUCCCACAGCAGGCGCAGAGUCUGCGUCACAGCUCGUCAUCCUAGACUCAUUCCUUUUAUAGAAGCACAAAUAAGCUCUUUCUCUCUCUCCCUCUAUCUCUCUCUGUUAAAACUGUUAAAAUUUUCCCUUGAAGAAACAAUCUUUGGACACAGUCUGUAUAUUUUCCCUGUGGUUUGACAGCUUUCAUUAUGUAAAUAUGUUCAAAAAGUGAUAAAAGCUCAAAUCUGCUUCUGAACAAAUUAUUUUUAGACAAACCUUUCAAAAAAUCCACUCUGGUCGAUUCACGCCUCAUUAAAUGUGCCAGUCUAUUUUUAGCAUCUGGUACAGGUGUUCUUUGCCUCAUUAUGGAUAAGUGUGUAUGAGCUGGUGGACAGAGUGUCCGGUUAAUUGCCCAAAUCGCCGUCACCAUGGGCACAAAUUCAAUUUAUUCACCAUUAUCUCUGAGAUUCUGUCAUGGUGUUUAUUUAAUGUGGCCUGGUUGUUUUUUGUUUUUGUUUUUUUUUUAUCGAUUUCCAUGUUUGCACAAUCUUGACUGUACACAGUGUGUUUAAAUUAAAGUCAUAUUUACAGUUCAUACCUGCAGGGCCUGACGUGAACUGUGCGUCUGGGACUGUGCGGUGGACGAGUGUGAUGGGUGAGCACUGCCGCUUUGUACAGCGAUCACGACUCGCAGCCCUGCUCCGUGAUUCACAAACCCUGUGAAAUGAUUUCUUUGUUGCACCACCAGCCUCAGCAAAUGCCAUCUGAUAUGGAGACAUUUGAAAGGAGCAUCAAUUCAGGAGCAUAAAUCGUUACCAUUUUUCCUCUUGGAGGAGGAAAAUGAAUUAUUUCAUUUGCGCGACACGUGUGUACUUACCUCGGGUCUGUGUUGCAGCAAGGUGAAGCGGUGAAAGAUAGAGGACACAUCGUACCUUGCCUGAGCUUAUAGUUCUGAUCUGGGUACUUCAGUGCAGGAACAAGAAAAUACAACAUCACUGUCUUAACCAUCCUUUUCUCAAGCCAAGGACACUGUGGAUAUUCAGCCCACACAAUAGAGCAGGCUGCUUUAGCAGUAAAUUAUACUAUUUUAAGUGUAUAUUAAGCAAUGCUAUUUUGAGUACUUGGAUUUAAAUACUCGUGUUUUGAAAUGAAACAUACCUGUACUACAUAAAUUCAAACAGAAAGUGAGUCAUCGUUUAUUUCUGGACUCCAGAAGCUGCUUUGUCGUAGAUGAUCUUGUCGGCAGCAAACAUUAACUUGAUUUUAAGCCAAGUCAAAUGUGGCCAGUUGUUUUCAGUAGCCACUAAAUUAGGUACACAGGACAUGAAUAACAGGGGCAGGAGUGAUGCUCUACCAUCAAGGUUCAACAAUGUCAUGUGUCCAGAGGUGGUCAUCUAUAAAUUUUGGUUAAAAUUAGUGGUUCUUUGAGUUUCUAUUAUUUCCAAACAUUCUUUUCUGACCUCAGGCAUCAACAGAGGUUUCUUCAACAAAGAGAAUUUCCGCUCACUGGAUAUUUUCCGUCUUGGGGACUAUUCUCUGUAGAGAUGGUUGUGUAUGAAAAUCCCAGUAGAUCAGCAGCUUCUUCGAUUCCCACUCACACACACACACACCAGCCUCCCUGGCAACAGCAGCCAUGCCGUGUGAUUGGCUGAUAACAUAUUUGCAUGCGAGUGGCCAGUGAGUGUAAUUGUGCUGUAUAAAUGUGGAGAGUGUGAAGGAAAUAAAUACUAAUACUUUCACUGAA